GAUGAACGCUAGCUACAGGCUUAACACAUGCAAGUCGAGGGGCAGCACUAGGUAGCAAUACUGAGGUGGCGACCGGCGCACGGGUGCGUAACGCGUAUCCAACCUUCCCGUUACUCUUGGAUAGCCUUCCGAAAGGGAGAUUAAUACAAGAUGGUAUUCAAAUUCCGCAUGUUAUUUGAAUUAAAGAUUUAUCGGUAACGGAUGGGGAUGCGUGACAUUAGGUAGAUGGCGGGGUAACGGCCCACCAUGCCUACGAUGUCUAGGGGUUCUGAGAGGAAGGUCCCCCACACUGGAACUGAGACACGGUCCAGACUCCUACGGGAGGCAGCAGUGAGGAAUAUUGGUCAAUGGUCGGAAGACUGAACCAGCCAAGUAGCGUGAAGGAUGAAGGUUCUAUGGAUUGUAAACUUCUUUUAUACGGGAAUAAACCUCCUACGUGUAGGAGCUUGUAUGUACCGUAUGAAUAAGCAUCGGCUAACUCCGUGCCAGCAGCCGC
rnacentral:rRNA from 1 species